GCACCACGAUUAGUAUAAGGCGCAUUUCACGAAGCAGAACGCAGUCUUCAGAGAUAUCCACGUGAACGCUGUGAUACGUCUGACCUUCAGUCCGAAGCUGGAACUCAGACCAGUCUUAAAAGAAAGCACAAACCAAAUCCCCUGUACACAUAUACGGACUCAGAGGAUGAGUUUUUUUGUGGGGAAAGCCUACAAAAAAACGGUUUCCCCAGGCCCCUCGAGUGAAAAUACCAGCCCUCACCACUCCGCAGUCUGCCCCCCAGCCCACUGAUAGCAACCAUCAUAAUGCCCCACCCAGCUCCCGGCACCUUUCGCCACUCCGGCACAAACCAACACAGCUUUGCGAUCUCGCCAGCAUGCAGAGUCUGAUGUCUUCCCUAUAGAUGAUUCCAGAGACUCUGUGAGGCCACUAUUACAAGGUGAGACGCUUUGCGUUGAUUGGUGCUGCUGAACCACACUGGAGGUGCGAGUCCGCCGUGUAAUGGUUUAUGCCAUUACAAAGGAGCUGGCCUCUGUACUCAACUGGGCAGGGGAAAAAAACAAAGGACCAGACAAAGCAAAAAAGGGCAUUUAAAGAGACAGCGCUGUGCAGAUGCAUAUUUGGUAAGUUUUAACAUUUAUUGUAGUUUUAUGAGCCUAAAGUGAAAAAUAAAGGGAUCAAUUGAUGUGCUGGGUG